GGAAGGAUCAUUCCUUUAAAAAUCAUCUUCACUGUGAACGGUUGUUCUUUGAGCAACCACCGUAUAUUUAUCAGUUUUGCUAUAAAAAUCCAACUAUAAGCAACGGAUACCUUGGCUAUCACAACGAUGAAGAACGCAGCAAAGCGCGAUAGGAAUUGCGAAUUGCAGAAUUCAGUGAAUCAUCGUACUUUGAACGCAAUUGCGCUCUUGGGAGUCCCCUUGAGCAUGCCUCUUUGAGUAUCGGUUUUAAACAAAUUUUACUUUUGUAAUUUUUGAGAUGGAAUAUUUAUAUUCUUAAGACGCAUGGUUUGUUUGACGGCAGGAGUAUGCAUUGAUCUUUGAUGAUGGGCAACCAAACACAGUUUGAGAUGUAUAUGAAGGCAACAAGAUGAACAAAAAGUUAUCAGUUUCGAUUGAUAAAUAAAUUACCAAUAAUGAUCUCAAAUGAGGUAAGAAGACCCCCUGAACUUAAGCAUAUUAUUAAGGGGAGGAAAAGAAACUAACUAGGAUUCCCUGAGUAACUGCGAGUGAAACGGGACUAGCUCAACCUUGUAAUCGCAUCUGGUCUCCAGUUGUGAGUUGUGGGUUCUGGAAGUAUUCUCAGCGUGUGGCCCCGCUUUAAGUCUGCUGGAACGCAGCUGUCAUAGAGGGUGAGAACCCCGUCUUGAGGUGGGAGUCUGCUGCGUACGAGUUGCUUUCGCAGAGUCGGGUUGCUUGGGAGUGCAGCCUUAAAUGGGAGGUGAAUUCCUUCUAAAGCUAAAUACAUGUGAUAGACCGAUAGAGCACAAGUACCGUAAGGGAAAGGUGAAAAGGACUUUGAAAAGAGAGUCAAAAGUACUUGAAAUUGCUUAUAGUCAACGGAUAGGAACUAUUGGAUCGGUUCGUCGUAUUACUGCUUUGUAUGGUGUUGGUUGUUGGUGGGAUACUAUCUCUUUAGGGGUAGUCCUGUUUGUGACUAAAUGCUUUGCAGAGUAGGCUUAAUGGCGAUAGAUGUCAAGAUGAGUUUGCGAUGUGGGAUAUGAGAUGUUUGGAGGUAGAGCGUGAUCUUCUUUGAAGUGAUCCUUGAGUACAGAUGUCGGAUACCAUGUUGUGGACUGAGGUUAGAUUUUGACGAAAUGGUUCUUAUUCACCCGUCUUGAAACACGGACCAAGGAGUGUAAGGUGUAUGCGAGUGUUAGGGUUUUAAACUCGGACGCGUAAAUGAAAGUGAAUCCUUCCUCGUGUUGGAUAGGUGCGAAUGCAGUUUCUUUAUGGGACAGCAGGCAACAUCGCCCGGCCUUUCCUUAGUGUUAGGUACGAGGACGAGCAUAUACGUUACGACCCGAAAGAUGGUGAACUAUACCUGAGCAGGGUGAAGCCAGGGGAAACUCUGGUGGAGGCUCGUAGCGAUACUGACGUGCAAAUCGUUCGUCAGACUUGGGUAUAGGGGCGAAAGACUAAUCGAACCAUCUAGUAGCUGGUUCCCC
rnacentral:misc_RNA from 1 species